rnacentral:rRNA from 1 species
AGAGUUUGAUCAUGGCUCAGGACGAACGCUGGCGGCGUGCUUAACACAUGCAAGUCGAGCGAUGAAACACCUUCGGGUGUGAAUUAGCGGCGAACGGGUGAGGAACACGUGAAGAAUCUGCCUUCAACUCUGGGAUAACUCCGGGAAACCGGGGCUAAUACCGGAUAUGAGCCUCGAUCGCAUGAUUGGGGCUGGAAAGUUUUUCGGUUGAAGAUGACUUCGCGGCCUAUCAGCUUGUUGGUGAGGUAAUGGCUCACCAAGGCGACGACGGGUAGCCGGCCUGAGAGGGCGACCGGCCACACUGGGACUGAGACACGGCCCAGACUCCUACGGGAGGCAGCAGUGGGGAAUAUUGGGCAAUGGAGGAAACUCUGACCCAGCGACGCCGCGUGAGGGAUGAAGGCCUUCGGGUUGUAAACCUCCUUCAGUAGGGAAGAAGCGAAAGUGACGGUACCUACAGAAGAAGCACCGGCUAACUAUGUGCCAGCAGCCGCGGUAAUACAUAGGGUGCAAGCGUUGUCCGGAAUUAUUGGGCGUAAAGAGCUCGUAGGUGGUUCGAUACGUCGGAUGUGAAAAUCAGGGGCUCAACCCCUGACCUGCAUCCGAUACGGUCGAGCUAGAGUUUGGUAGGGGAGACUGGAAUUCCUGGUGUAGCGGUGGAAUGCGCAGAUAUCAGGAGGAACACCGAUGGCGAAGGCAGGUCUCUGGGCCAAUACUGACACUGAGGAGCGAAAGCGUGGGGAGCGAACAGGAUUAGAUACCCUGGUAGUCCACGCCGUAAACGGUGGGCGCUAGUUGUGCGAACCUUCCACGGUUUGUGCGACGCAGCUAACGCAUUAAGCGCCCCGCCUGGGGAGUACGAUCGCAAGAUUAAAACUCAAAGGAAUUGACGGGGCCCCGCACAAGCAGCGGAGCAUGCGGCUUAA